rnacentral:rRNA from 1 species
UACGUAGGGUGCGAGCGUUGUCCGGAAUUAUUGGGCGUAAAGAGCUCGUAGGCGGUGUGUCACGUCGGCCGUGAAAACCUGGGGCUCAACUCUGGGCGUGCGGUCGAUACGGGCAUCACUUGAGUUCGGCAGGGGAGACUGGAAUUCCUGGUGUAGCGGUGAAAUGCGCAGAUAUCAGGAGGAACACCGGUGGCGAAGGCGGGUCUCUGGGCCGAUACUGACGCUGAGGAGCGAAAGCAUGGGUAGCGAACAGG